CCUACGGGCGGCAGCAGUGAGGAAUAUUGGUCAAUGGGCGCGAGCCUGAACCAGCCAAGUAGCGUGAAGGAUGACUGCCCUACGGGUUGUAAACUUCUUUUAUAAAGGAAUAAAGUGAGGCACGUGUGCCUUUUUGUAUGUACUUUAUGAAUAAGGAUCGGCUAACUCCGUGCCAGCAGCCGCGGUAAUACGGAGGAUCCGAGCGUUAUCCGGAUUUAUUGGGUUUAAAGGGUGCGUAGGCGGCCUUUUAAGUCAGCGGUGAAAGUCUGUGGCUCAACCAUAGAAUUGCCGUUGAAACUGGGGGGCUUGAGUAUGUUUGAGGCAGGCGGAAUGCGUGGUGUAGCGGUGAAAUGCUUAGAUAUCACGCAGAACCCCGAUUGCGAAGGCAGCUUACUAAACUGCCACUGACAUUGAUGCUCGAAAGUGUGGGUAUCAAACAGGAUUAGAUACCCGAGUAGUC
rnacentral:rRNA from 1 species